rnacentral:tRNA from 1 species
UCCCUGAUGGUCUAGUGGUCAGAAUUCGGUACUCUCACCGCUGCGCCCCGGGUUCGAUUCCUGGUCAGGGAU